rnacentral:lncRNA from 1 species
CCGUCACCGUUGCUUGGAUUUGGUAUAGCAAGCUACCAAAUUGAUUGAGAAUAGGGUCUCCUCUAUUUCAUCUUCUUUCUUUGAUUUUUUGCCUACUACCGUCGAUCACCAUCAUUGCCGGGGUUGUCAUCGUUAUCAUCACCGGCCGCUGUCAUGGGUUAUCGGCGAUCAGCCUUCCAUUGUGAUUAUUGAGGAAGAGAGAGAGAAUGGGUAUUCCCCUGAUUUAGGGAAGGAAGAGAAAGCUCUUUCUCUCUCUUCCCUCUUCCUCCCUCUCCUAC